UAUGGGCCUAGGAGAUACACAGAAGUGACAGCUUACCUGUUGACAGAUCGUGCUUGGAAGUUUUCGUUUUUGAAAAUCUGAUCGUGCUUGGAAUGAUGGGUCCAUUUUCAUAAAUUGUUUUCUGUAACUGGAUGGAGCUGUAGCAGCUUCCUAGCCCUCAUCAAGUCCCCUUUUGGUUGCUUGAUAAUGAAGUUUUCAGGCAAUUUAGAAGUCCUGAAAACAGUGCAGCUCAGGGCUUUUCUUUGUCACUACAUAGGAAUGAUAACAGAACGAAGAGUUAAGAACCCCACAGUUUCUUGAUGGACAACAGUGUCCUGUUUUUUUUCGUUUAAAAAAAGAGAGCAGUGCUUAAGAGGAACCAGAGGUUCCUACCCUCUAAAAAAAUCUGAGCCAUUGAUCUUUAGAAUCCCUCUUUUCCUCUAAUGAGGGGUACUUUGCUAAUCAUAUUAGCACCAAAUAGAUCAGCUUGUCCCUUUGUUUUCCCCGACGCCGCCGGCGCACCGUGCACCCCGCUCUGCUGCACCUCCCCGGCCGGCCGCGAUCCCCGACGGCGGCGCCGUGCCGCCGUAGAGCUGCGGAGUUGAGACCCUCGCCGCUAUCUCCCUGUUUUCCCCUGAACGCCGGCGCCAAGCACCCCGCCCGGCCCCGCACCCCUCUCUGCUGCGCCUCCCAGCCGGCCGCGAUCCGCGACAGCAACGCCUCGCGGGAGAGCUGCAUAGGAGAGACCCUCAACGCUAAUCUCUUAUCUGAAUCCGUGACAGCUUGCUGCACGGCUCAAAACAGAGGCUCGUGAUCUAGGUUCUCGUGGGCUAGGGUUCAGCGGCGAGGAUUCUUCUACCUAGGAGCUCUGCAACGCGAAGCAGUGACUGGGUGGCGUGGAACCCCAGCGCUGAGGCAGGGAAUCACAUACGUUGCACCGGCAGAGCUUAGAAGAUCACCAAGGAAGAUAUGGUUGAUCUGAGUAUAGAGGCUCUAUUAGAUUAUCAAGAAAUUGUCAGCAAGACAUUCCGUAGCGAGAAAGAAGGUUAUGAAUUCUACAACAACUAUGCUAUGGAGAAGGGAUUUUCUGUAAGGAAAUGUUACAUGGAAAGAGAUCAAACUACUAAAGAAAUAUGUUUAAGGAGGUUUGUUUGUAGUCGUCAAGGGUUCCGUGCAGCUAAGCACAUGAAGAAAGCAAAUAAGAAGAGGAAGCCACGGGACAUUAGUCGCUGUGGGUGUGCAGCCAGAAUGGUAAUUGCACGGAAUAAGGAGAUGGGACUGUGGUAUGUCAAGGACUUUAUUGAUGAGCACACCCAUGAAUUGGCAGCAUCAGAUUUAGCUUGCCUCUUACAUUCACAUAGAAGAAUCAGUGAUGAGCAGAAAGCCGACAUAAUUGAGAUGGAAAUUGCAGGAGUACGCAAACACCAAAUCAUGAACAUUCUUGAAAUGCAGUAUGGUGGAUAUGACAAGGUCAGAUGUGUAUCAAGGGAUGCAUAUAACUUUUGCUAUAGGUACAAGUUGGGAACGAUUGCUAAAUGAGAUUCUCAAACUAUGAUACGUCACAUGGUGGCACGACAGGAGAGAGAUCCAGAUUUUUCCUUCAAAUAUCUGAUUGAUGAAAAGGGCCACCUGAAGCAACUAUUCUGGUCCGAUACUCAAUCUUGUCUAGACUAUGAAGCAUUUGGUGAUGUUGUGGUUUUUGAUAGUACUUACCGGACCAAAGGAUACAACUUGCCAUUUGUGCCUUUUGUUGGGUUGAAUCACUACCGAAGCACAGUUGUAUUUGGUUGUGGCAUUCUUUCCAAUGAAACGUUCGAGGCAUAUGAGUGGCUGUUGCAAACAUUCUUGACUGCCAUGUCCCAGAAACAUCCAAUUUCGGUCAUCACUGAUGGAGACCUUGCUAUGCAGAAAGCUAUCAGAAUUGUUUUGCCUAGUAGUAACCAUAAGUUGUGCACCUAGCAUAUUGAGCAAAACAUAUUACAGAAUCCUCAUAAUUCUAAAAUUGCUCAAGCGUUCAGAGUAUUUGUAUAUGAUCGUUGUUCUAUACCGGAGAUUUGAGAGGAAAUGGGAUGAAUUCAUGGAAAAGAAUAGAAUUUCAAGUAAGCACACAUGGGUGUAUCAAAUGUACUAGAUGAAGAACUUGUGGUGCGCAGUGAGAGUCUAAACUCAAAAUUACAUACUCAUCUUGAUAGAAAGAUGACACUAUUUGAUAUGUUGCAGCACUAUGAGCAUUGCUUGUCCAACCUGCGGCGAAAUGAGGCUAAGUUAGAUGUUACAGCAUCACAAUUUGUCCCAUUCACUGACUUGGAUGAUGCUGAUAAUAUUGAGAAGGAUGCUGCAGAAGUGUUUACACCUACUGUUUUUGCCUUGGUGAAGAAGAAAAUUGGUUGUAUAAAUAAUUAUGCUAUCUGUGAAAUACUCGAUGGGGGUGAAAGGGUAACAUAUGUCGUUUCUGCGAAGAACAAUAAUGAUUGGAAGUUCUAUGUUGAUUGUGACUUCACAGAAUCCAUGUUAGACAAGAUUGGUUGCUCUUGUUGCAAGCUGUA